UGGAAGUAAAAAGUCGUAACAAGGUUUCCGUAGGUGAACCUGCGGAAGGAUCAUUACCGAGUGCGGGCCCUCGCGGCCCAACCUCCCACCCUUGUCUCUGUACACCUGUUGCUUUGGCGGGCCCACCGGGGCCACCUGGUCGCCGGGGGACGUACGUCCCCGGGUCCGCGCCCGCCGAAGCGCUCUGUGAACCCUGAUGAAGAAGGGCUGUCUGAGUACCAUGAAAAUUGUCAAAACUUUCAACAAUGGAUCUCUUGGUUCCGGCAUCGAUGAAGAACGCAGCGAAAUGCGAUAAGUAAUGUGAAUUGCAGAAUUCCGUGAAUCAUCGAAUCUUUGAACGCACAUUGCGCCCCCUGGCAUUCCGGGGGGCAUGCCUGUCCGAGCGUCAUUUCUGCCCUCAAGCACGGCUUGUGUGUUGGGUGCGGUCCUCCCGGGGACCUGCCCGAAAGGCAGCGGCGACGUCCGUCUGGUCCUCGAGCGUAUGGGGCUCUGUCACUCGCUCGGGAAGGACCUGCGGGGGUUGGUCACCACCACAGUUUUACCACGGUGACCUCGGAUCAGGUAGGAGUUCCCCCA
rnacentral:rRNA from 1 species